CAGAUGCGAUCAUACCAGCGCUACA
rnacentral:rRNA from 1 species